rnacentral:lncRNA from 1 species
ACUGAAAAAUACAGGGAGUGCAGAAUUAUUAGGCAAGUUGUAUUUUUGAGGAUUAAUUUUAUUAUUGAACAACAACCAUGUUCUCAAUGAACCCAAAAAACUCAUUAAUAUCAAAGCUGAAUAUUUUUGGAAGUAGUUUUUAGUUUGUUUUUAGUUAUAGCUAUGUUAGGGGGAUAUCUGUGUGUGCAGGUGACUAUUACUGUGCAUAAUUAUUAGGCAACUUAACAAAAAACAAAUAUAUACCCAUUUCAAUUAUUUAUUAUUACCAGUGAAAC